rnacentral:sRNA from 1 species
UGUUCCUGCGCUGGAGCUACUUGGAUAG